UGGGGAAUAUUGCACAAUGGGCGCAAGCCUGAUCCAGCCAUGCCGCGUGUAUGAAGAAGGCCUUCGGGUUGUAAAGUACUUUCAGUCGGGAGGAAGGUGUCAUGGUUAAUAACCUUGGCUAUUGACGUUACCGACAGAAGAAGCACCGGCUAACUCCGUGCCAGCAGCCGCGGUAAUACGGAGGGUGCAAGCGUUAAUCGGAAUUACUGGGCGUAAAGCGCACGCAGGCGGUUGAUUGAGUCAGAUGUGAAAUCCCCGGGCUUAACCCGGGAAUUGCAUCUGAUACUGGUCGGCUAGAGUCUCGUAGAGGGGGGUAGAAUUCCAGGUGUAGCGGUGAAAUGCGUAGAGAUCUGGAGGAAUACCGGUGGCGAAGGCGGCCCCCUGGACGGAGACUGACGCUCAGGUGCGAAAGCGUGGGGAGCAAACAGG
rnacentral:rRNA from 1 species